GCAGUGAUGUGCUGCCCCCAAUCUCUCGUACAGCUCGGGUUUGGAGGCGGAGGCCAAGGGGGAGGAGGCGCAGGCGCUGUAGCUCGCGGACAAGUCGAGGAACUGCCCCACGGCGCGAGCGGCGAGACUAAGGUAUGUCAUGUGCCAUUUCUGCUCAGGUCCUCAGGCUCCAACUUGUGUGCCAUCGCAUGUAGUGCUGUGUUAGUCGACAAACUCCGUGGAUGCUCGGAUGAUUUGGUAGAACAAACAAGUACUUUAGAUUUGAAUCCACAUGCUUGCAAGAGAGAAUGGGGAAUAAAAGGCGGAAUCCUUAGGCGGCAGACUACUUGUCUUAGGAUUGCUGUGGUUUUGAUGUACGGGCACUAAUUAAUGGGCCACCAAGUUCUCAAAUGGAAGGGGACGCUUCAUGCUUGAACACUAUUACCGGUAGAAACUAGCAAUAUUAACACUAUUACCCGUACAAACGAGCAAUAUUAGAAUCUGAAAAUGACACAAUUACUAAAUUUCAGUUUACGGACGAUCAAUGGCAGCGCAGUUAAGCAAAUUACCAAACAUUAUCUAAGAGGACCCGGCAUCUCGCUUUCACCGUCCAGAAAAGAGGCUCGUUUGUGAAAUCCCAUUGGUAUAGCCAGACUGGAAGGAUAUCCCCUCGUUUCUUGCUCUUGAAAUCAUCAGCCGGAACUGCCUUGGAAUUUCAGUAUCCAUGGAGUCUGUAUGUCGAGGGGCCCCAGAAACAGCUGGCAACCACACUUUGAGCCUUGAAGCAACCUCGGUCAUGGUCGGCCUGUUGAUGGCUGCGUUUUCGAGGCAGUUCAUGGCCAGGUCCACUACACUCUGCAGGGAACUGGCAUCGUACAGAUCCAGCAGUUUCUUGUCUACAACAUCGUGAAUGCUGCCGUUAGCUAUCUUUUGCCGCACCCAAUUUGGUAGGUGGACAGUUUGAGGGUCCAUAACUACUGGGGAUUGGCCGGUGAUGAUCUCCAAGAGCACGAUACCAAAGCUGUAAACAUCUGUUUUGACGGUGACUUGGAAACUUGCAUGGUAUUCAGGAUCGAGGUAACCAAGAGUGCCAGCAGCAGCAGUAGAUAUGUGUGUGUGAGCAUCAUUAAAAGCCCGUGAAAGCCCAAAAUCAGAUAUCACCCCCACCAGAUUAUUGUCCAGAAGGAUGUUUGGGGUCUUCACAUCUCUGUGCACUAUUGAUGGGGUGCAUAACUCAUGUAAAUACUCGAGGCCUGUUGUUUAUCAAAACUCGUACUUUGUCAACACACACAUACGUCACCUCAAAAGAAAGAAAACUCACACAUACGUACAUACAUGGCCUAAAGGCAAACAUGCAACUGAAGUACGGACCUUGUGCAGCAUCAAGUGCAAUAUGAAGUCGUUGUUCCCAAUUCAAACUAUACUCAUCUCCUGCAUCAAUACAUACGAAAUUAAUGCAAGUGCCAUUUGGUAUGUGCAUAAUAGCAUAAAUACCAGUUUUCCUAAUACUUGCACAUAUUAUUUUAGAUCGACUCUAUGCACAUAUUUAAGCUGACAAAUGAUGGAUAAACACACAAUGAUUAACCAUAUCAUCAUUGGCGUAUUAAGAUCUAAGUCCUGCAUAAACAGGCACUUUGAUCUUCCAGAGGUCACUGCUUUUCUGUUGUGAACCUUGAUCCACAACGUGAUAAAUAACUAUCGUGUUGAAGAUAGCCAGACAGCAUUGCUGCAAGGGAUUGGGUAGGCAUAGGUUUAGAUGAGAGAAUAAUUCUUGCUUCCUUCCCAAACCUUUCAUGACAUGCACAUAUAUAAUACCUCCUAACUUGACAGUUGACACCCAUGGUGUUGCACUCUAACUAGGAAACCCUCUCAUACGAGAAUCUCAUUUCGUGCUUUCCUAAUCCUUACUGUUCCGAAUUAGGCUUCCUAAUUCUACCUGUAACUCAUCUUCCCCAGUUUAAGUUGUCUCCUUCCUGAACUCUUCCCUAGCCAACUCCUUCCUUGAAUCUUAUUGGGGUCUCUUUCCUGUAAAGAACUCACCGACCCUUGCUGGCCGGCUGGCCAGUUGCAACACAUCUGAUUCUGCUUUGGGGCAUGCACUAAUGUCCAUAACAUUUUCAUUUGCUUUACCAGAGCAUUUUUUUAUAUACAAAUCCUGAAAUCCAGUUAACAAUAGAACAAAGCUAUUGAAGCAUUCUUUGAAUACAUAUCUCUCUAGUUGCUUUGUUUCUUACUGGCUUUUCAAAGAUGUGCAUGUUUAUAUUUUGUGACUAUCAUGCCAUGCUUUUGAAAAAGAAUUUUACUGUGGUAGCCCAAAUUUGUUACGGAAUAUCUAUGACCAUGCCAUGGUUAGGACUUUAUGCAGUUCUAGGAUGCAGCUAUGGUUGUCUCACUUGUUAGUUGAAUAUCUUUACAGAGUAAAUUAUGUCUACAAACUCAACUGUAUCGACUAGCAGCACAAUAACAGUUUAGGCAAUCAACUAUACCUUUAACAAGGAGAGCCAGUUUUGAAAAUCCUGAUUGCAGUACCAUGUCAAAGCCAGAAUAGUUUGAUCUUAGACUUUCCUUUUUGUACAUACAACUAGGUCCUGCCGGAUUUUAUUUUUAUGGAUGCACAAUAUAUUGAUAAAAUUUGACAAAUAGGUGAUUCCCAAGUUAGUCAUCCGGGUCCCUGUGUAACUGUUGGUUUCUCACGAAGUAAAACUCUGAACUUGCUUUUCAGAUUGAGCAGUUUUUAGUUUUGAUCGAAUGAUUUUAUUUUAUUGAAUUAAAGUACAAAUACAACUAGUGAUAAUAACAAACUGAAAGUUGGAUUGGUUGUACCUAAGUCAACUAUGCUUGACAUAUACAUUAGGAGAAGUUAAGAGAGAAACCUCCUCUUAAAAGCUGUUGAAGAUUUCCUCUGGGCAUAAAAUCAUAAACGAGUGCUAGGCACUUCUUGUUCUGGCAAUAUCCUUGCAAAGUCACAAGGUUCUUGUGAUGAACUUUGGACAAGGUUUGCACCUGCAGCAACGGAUAUAAGUAUCAGAUAUCCUAGAACUAAAGCCAAUUGCAUCAUUAUGUGAUAUGGACUCUGUAAAGGGUUUUGGACGUCUUGCGGACUUAUUAUUACUUUCUAUUGAAGAAAGCAUUGGUUCGACCUAGUUUGUUUUGUGAUAUACCUCUGGGAGGAAGUCUUUUGACUCUGCUAUUGAUGUCUCCAUGAGCACCUUCACAGCUACCUCAUCACCAUUUUCCAGCGUGCCAUGAUAAACAAUACCGAAACCUCCCUUUCCAAUGAUUGAUUGGAAGUCGUUUGUUAUGAGCUUCAGCUCUGUGUACGUGAACCGUCUGAUAUCAAUAUGUAGUGGAGUUUCCUCUUCAUACAUGGCAUAAUCCUCAUGGUCUUCUGACUUCCCUGCCGAGUCAAGAAGUUUUGCUUUACAUGAAAGUUUAGAUACGAAGCUGCUCUCUAAUAUGUACCACCCAUUGCAUCGAUUAAGGGAAUUUUAGAGCAUAGAUUUUUGUUUACCUUUCCAGCAUAACUUCCAGAGUAUGCACAUCACUACUAGGAGGGAUACCAGUACCACAGGAACUAUCACUGCGAUGAGUAUGAUAUGUAUGGUGUUCUUCUUAUUUGAGCAGUAUGUAUCUUUGACUUUUGAGCAUAGGGGAUUGCCUUCUAAUCUAGUGGCACAGUUACACAACAUAUAGAAAAGAGCAGUUCAUAAGACCUUAGCUGCAACAGUUAUAUAAAUAUUAUGAUUAGAGGAUGAGUCUGUUUCUAACACAACUAGCCAGCUAAACAUCUGUGCACUCUAAAAAGAACAACUUUACGGUUUCUCAUCUAGACACUCUAAAGGAACAAACUUCAUGGUUUGUAUAUCAUGUGCAAUUACUAACGUCCUUAUCUACCUCUCUUGUUGAAAGCCGAUAGAUAACAAAACAUUUAUAUUUGAUAGAUGUAAGUUGUGUAAUUGAGCGCGUGUUUGCAUCAAUGCAAUUCCCUACAGAAGUGUGGCUAAGUCAAUUUCUCUAAGAGUUCAUGUGUAUGGCAAGUGGGGCUAGGCGCUUGGAAAGUGUGGCGUGCCACAAAUAUAUCAUUAACCAAACAGUGCCAAGAGAAAGCCAAACCUUUGUAACUCUAGUUUGGCUAAGUGUGGGUAUGAACCAAAUGUUUAGCCAAUGUAUUAUAUUGUAUGUUCAAAGACUAUUGCCAAACCUUAAUUUUCUCCAAUGAUAACCAAUUGUUGAGCCUAUUUCUUUUUGGCAUAGCUACCAAAGCCUUUCAGUCCCAAACAAGUUGGCGUAGGCUAGAGUUGAAACCCCUAACAACAUCUCUAAUAGAUGCCCAAAAAUUUACAUUUGGGCCAAUUUUUUGUUUUGUUUUGUGGGAUUAAGGACCAGCUAGCAGAUCCCUCAAACCAAAAUCCCUAAAAAAAGCUUUUCAUCCCCCAAAACGCAGCCACCCCGACUUAAUUUAGGGCAUGUACAACGAUGCUAUCUUAGGAGUGCCAUGUAGGAUAAAUGAUGAGGUGGAGGAGAGAUAACUCGUAAGAAAAGGCUUGUCUUCUCUUAUUUAAGAGAAGACAAGAGAUGAUCUCUUAGCACAAUAUGUCUCGCCUCAUUUUUAGGAAUAACUACUUAUUGAAGAUAAGGCUAAGACAUGACCCAUUGUAGACGUCUUUUUUUGUCAUCUCUAAAUUACAUGCAAGACUUAAGAUAAGACUAUCUUAUCAAUCAUUGUACAUGCCCUUAGUCCAAUGCCGCAACUUCUCAGUAAAAACAGUCGGCUGCCAUACCUUUCUCUCAGCUCCGACCCGCUGCCCCCGUUGCCGUUGUUCAACCCCUUUUGCAGGAACCGUUGCGCGCGACCAUCCUGCCGCCCUCUCCUACACUUUCUCCUUGUUCGCCGGUGCCAGAAUCAGCCUUUUCACUGCCGAAGAACCUGCCUUCCUAUCGCUUCGCCCGGUGGUCACUGAGGUCUAUUUCAUCGGGAAUCGAACCGGCCGACCUUGGAGACGACGUAGGAAGGUCCAAUGCAGCUCCUAGACGACCAGCGGCGCUAGAACUAGCGAAGAAGACCGCCCCACCACCCCGCAUCCCUGGGGUGGAGGUUCGUCGCCUCAACGCCCGAGGAUCGCCUCUGCAGACUGCUAGGCAGCGUCGCUAGUGUCCUCCACCAUCGUUUGGCCUUAGCCCGAGCUCCAUCAUCGGACAUCGUGUCUCUGCUCCCGUCCACCAACAAGGUAUUUGUCAAAAUGCCUCUAUGUUUUUUUUUCUUGUUUUCAUCAAAGAAAGGUCUCGAAUUGUGUAGAAAGAAGAAGAUGGUGACUUUGAUUUGGCGGUGGCCGCCGUGGUGUCUAUGGAGGAGGAUUUCCCGCGGCUGAGGCUCAGUUCUCGGUUUGAUCGGAGGAUGUUUCUUUGAGAUAGAAUCAUUGGUCAUGAUGGUUUAGUGAGGGAUUAAUUUGUGCCGAAUGCAGUAUAUGCUUCCUAUUUUCUGCAUAGAUUCCGAAUGCACCGAGAUCUUUUCAACACCAUUGCAAAAGGGAGAAACAUGAUCCUUCGUUUAAGCCAAGAAGGAAUGCAACUUGCUGCAAGUGCAAUUCGAUUGUUGAAGAUUACCGCAACCAUGUGAGUCCUUGCUUAUGGAUGCCCGACCGAUGCCAUUGAUUACUAUGUUCGCAUUGGGGAAGAUCUCAUCCUAGAUUGUGUGAGACGAUUUUGUGAUGUUGUGAUCGAAAUCUAUGGACCAGAGUACUUGAGGGUUUGUAAGGGCAUAUUUAUCCCUUAGUAGUUUUGGUGAUUGAUGACAAUGCUUUUGCGAACUAAUCGUGUGCAUUGAGCAUUUCAGAUAUAUCAUGUCUAGGCACAAGACGAUUUGGUGCCCCUCGAAGACUAUUGAAGACGGCGUUUCUCUACGUUUCUUUUUGGUGGUUUGAGUCGUAGGAAAGCCGUACUAUUAAGAGGGGGUCUGCGUUGGAAAGGUUUGGGUGGAAUCAACACGUACACGUCUGUUCCUUGUUGCACCACUUUUCCGUUGGCCCUUUGAAGCAUCCUCCGUUUCUCCGUGGCUCUGCAAAAUGAAGGACUCCUAGUGUUGCUGAACUGGGGCAUGCGGUAGUACUCCUCUCUGGAGCGGUAGUACCGCAGGCCCUUGCGGUAGUACGGGCCUCUGGCGCGGUAGUACCGCAGGUGCUCACGGUAGUACCGCUUCUUAGGAGCGGCAGUACCAUAGCCUCAGGCCAGGCUCAACGGCUCGAGUGGCUGUAGGGGCGGAUGUAAUUUUUUACAUCCGCGCCCUACACGGUAGUACUGUGCCAUGGGCGCGGUAGUACCGCGAGCUCUGGGCAAGCACAACAACAUGAGCGGAAGUAGGGGCGGAUGUAAUUUUUUACAUCCGCGCCGUACGCGGUAGUACCGCUCCGGGCUUGCGGUAGUACCGUGUUGGAUUUUUUCAUGGAUCGGAACUCAGCAGAAGUAGUCACAGAUGUAUUUUUAUAUGUCCGUGCCUUCCCAGUCUAGACCAAUCCUGCCUUGCGGUAGUAUCGCAAGGGGGAGCGGUAGUACCGCGCCAGCAGUUCUACCGCCCUUGGCUUCCUUGCCUCAGGUCUGGCCUAGCUUGUGCCGUGGCAGUAGUAGUACCGCAGGGCCUUGCGGUAGUACCGUGGGCUCGUGCGGUAGUGCCGCUCGUCGCGGGCUGAGUAAGUGGAUAACGGUUGGAUUUGCUCUUUCACUAUAAAAGGGGAGUCUUCUUCUCCGAGUUGACUACCUCUUCCACCCCCAAGCUCCAUUGUUGCUCUAAGCUCCAUUUUCGCCCGAUCUCUCUCCCUAACCAAUCAAACUUGUUGAUCUCCUAGGGAUUGGUUGAGAAGGCCUAGAUCUACACAUCUACCAAGAGAUAUUUGAUUCCCCCCACUAAUCCCUCGCGGAUCUUGUUACUCUUGGGUGUUUGAGCACCCUAGACGGUUGAGGUCAUCGUGGAGCUAUACUCCAUUGUGGUGAAGCUUCAUGGUGUUGUUGGGAGCCUCCAAUUAAGUUGUGGAGAUUGCCCCAACCUUGUUUGUAAAGGUUCGGUCGCCGCCUUCAAGGGCACCAAUAGUGGAAUCACGACAUCUCGCAUUGUGUGAGGGCGUGAGGAGAAUACGGUGGCCCUAGUGGCUUCUUGGGGAGCAUUGUGCCUCCACACCGCUCUAACGAAGACGUACUUCCUCUCAACGGAAGGAACUUCGGUAACACAUCCUCGUCUUCACCGACUCCACUCUUGGUUAUCUCAUCCCUUUACUCGUGCAAGCUUAUCUUGGGUUACAUUCCUUGCUUGCUUGUUUACUUAGCGUUGUUGCAUCAUAUAGGUUGCUCACCUAGUUGCAUAUCUAGACAGCCUACUUUGAUGCAAAGUUUAAAUUGGUAAAGAAUAGCUAAAAACUGUUAGUUGCCUAUUCACCCCCCCUCUAGUCAACUAUAUCGAUCCUUUCAGGGUUCCCAAUGAUGAAGAUACCGAGAGGCUCAUGGCGGAAAGUGAAGAGAGAGGUCGGCCCGAUGUUCUUGGAUCUGUAGGACAUGGAAGAAUUGCCUUGUGGCAUGGCAAGGUCAGUAGAGAGGGCAUUGCCAUGAUCCAACCAUCAUUCUUGAGGCAUUUGCAUCACAUGAUCUUUGGAUUUGACAUGCAUACUCCAGGAUGCCUGGCUCUCAUAAUGAUCUCAGUGUCCUCUCUUGAUAUCCUCUUUUUACAAGGCUUGUUGCCGGUGACAAUCCACCUUGCAACUAUGUUGUCAAUGGCAAUGAGUACAACAUGGGAUACUACCUAGCCGACGAGAUCUAUCCUCUACAAGCCACAUUUGUGAAGACAAUCCACCGUCCUAAAGGCAAUAAGAAAUCUCACUUUGCAACUAUGCAAGAAUCUCCUAGAAAGGAUGUUGAGAGAGCUUUUGGUGUGCUUCAACGACUCUUUGUGAUUGUCUGUGCCCCUGCUGAGUAUAUCCGAACCCGGAGAUCUUAUGGAAGAUCAUGACAACAUGAUCAUUGAGUAUGAGAUGACCCGUAGGACUUUCGGUAUCUCUUCAAUGGACACCUGGUGGAGCCAGAAUGUAACCCAAACAAGAUUGAAGCCUUCCUCCAAGCACACCGAAAUACGAUAACCGUCAAGCUCAGAACUGACUUCAAGAAGAUCUUAUUGAGCAUGAUUGGCGCCUUCAUAGCACCGAUUCUUGUGCUUUUACAAUGUUUAUUUGGAUUCUUAAUUCAUUUGGACCGUCUGUUGUGUUUUGAAUUUGCACGGUUAUGUUUGAGAACAUCAAAUUUGCUAUGUAUUUGAAUUGUAUGUACUUGAAUUCUUAAGUAUUGAACUAAUAUGUUGUGAUAAAGUUUGGAAAUGGUUGGAUGAAUUAGCAAAACAAUAUUUUUAAGGGAUUAAGUUUUAGGGGACCUGCUAGCUGAGGAAAUGUUUAAUCCCUUAAUUUUUUUGACUUCUUGGGAUAGGGAGAGGGUUUGAGGGAUUAAGUUUAGGGCAUCUGCUGGAGAUGCUCUAAGAUCUCAAAACCGUCAUGGUUUUGGCACGUGGAUAGAUAACUUAAAUGCACCCAUUUCGAUGGCUAGUUCUUUGGUGAUACUCUAGUCCUUCAGGUCUCUCUUUACCGACUCCUCCCAUAUUAAAUUUGGUCUACCCCCGACCUCUCUUAACAUUAUCAGCAUGUUUUAUCCUUCCGCUAUGCACCGCAUUGGGGCUUAUGGAGUCCUAUGUUGUAUAUGCCCAACCAUCUCAUAUGAUGUUGGACAUGUCUCUUCAACUGGUGCUACCCCAACUCUAUCACGCAUAUCAUCAUUCCGGACCCGAUCCUUUCUUGUGUGGCCACAUAUCCAUCUUAGCAUGCGCAUCUCUGCUACACCUAACUGUUGGACACGUCGCCUUUUGGUCUCGGAACAGGCUUUUGCCCCGCUUUAUAAAUAAAGCAACAACUGAAAAAGUACAUGGCCGAACGAUACAAGAUGGUGAGGUAGCCCUCUUACAAAGCUGAUCCUGAGAUAACCGGCACACGUAGAACGCACGCGACUAUGCUACCCUAAACGAGCACCGAAAGAACUAAACACCCCCAUGCUAUGACCUAGCACACCUAAGCUCCACGACAACGCCCUCAAGAGGGAGAACGGCGCAAACCGUCGCCGUUGCCGAGUACACACUGGACAAAGGUCUUCACCCGGAGCCCUGACACAGGGAGAAGAACCACAACGACGCCUUUAAGAGGAGUGCAACACCCUCGGGUGUCGCCGCCGUCGGCGCCAAGGCACGGAGCUUUCGCUCAGCAACCUACCCAUGCCACCACAAGGCCGCCAGGAGGAGCGCGACGAUGUCAGAUCCCCAGAUCCGAAUCAGGACGCCUUUUAGUUGGCCAGCCUUUUGAGUUUCAUCUCCACAAGAGUGGCUGCGUUUUGAAGUUGGCUUGCCAAGCUUAUCACAACCCUCCUUCUUUACCUGGGCUUGGGACCGACUAUGUUUGUUUGGUCUAUUUUUUCUUCUUAUAUUUAGUAUGGAAUUUGUAACAUUCUUUUUUUUAAAGAAUUGUGUGGCAGAGAAUGACAAACCUUAAGUCAAGCAGGCCGGCCUGAAAACCUUGAAGAACAGAAUCAGGGAUCGGCCCAUUAAGCUGGUUAUUUGACAAGUUGCUGUAAAAUAAUUGUUAAAAUCAUUAUUCAAAAUUAAUAUCAUCAACCAAAGAGUUAAUCAUCACAGAACUUACAGGACUCUGAGUGACCCUAGGUAGUCUGGAAUAGCUCCUGUCAAAUUGUUGUGUGAUAAAUCCCUAUAUAUAUAUUUCGCAUAGGGUCACACAGAUGGCAAACAUAGUCUCAUUUAGCCCAUCAAUAUUAUGCGGUAGGCACUACUUACAAGUUUAUCAGUGAUGACAUGUUCAUGAAUGAUAUGGCUAAUCCACCUUUCAGUCCACUGGUAGACAGAUUUCUGCAGAAACAACUCAUUUUAAUAGAAGCCAUGAAUUUAAUGAUAGCAUCGAGCUAACAUGCAUUUUAAGCUCCAUUUUAAAGACUAUUCAAGUAUCUUUCUGUGGCUCAGGUUUACACCAAGCUACCUGUGUUUUCAAGGUCUUAGAGACUUAGACUGUGACUGAGUCUCUUACUAUUUAUAAAAACACGCGGUACUCUUCAAAGUUUAAAAGAUUGAACUGCAAUGUUUAGAUUUCAAAAUGUAUAUGGUAAAGUCCUGGUUUUGUUCUUAGUUCUUAGUUCUUACACUGCAAUUAUUCUUGGAUUCUGAUUGCUCUUAGGGUAGCUGCAAAUCAAACCUUCCCAGGAAUACUCUCCUGGGGAGCAUGGAUCUCCAUUCCAGUUUAUUUGUGCCAA
rnacentral:lncRNA from 1 species